rnacentral:rRNA from 1 species
GCAAUACGGCGGUCUAGUGGCGAACGGGUGCGUAACACGUGAGCAAUCUGCCGAGAAGUGGGGGAUAGCUCGCCGAAAGGCGAAUUAAUACCGCAUGUGGUCAGGAAGGACAUCCUUCUGAAACCAAAGCCGGGGUAACCUGGCGCUUCUUGAUGAGCUCGCGGCCUAUCAGCUAGUUGGUAAGGUAACGGCUUACCAAGGCUAUGACGGGUAGCUGGUCUGAGAGGACGACCAGCCACACUGGAACUGAGACACGGUCCAGACACCUACGGGUGGCAGCAGUCGAGAAUUUUUCUCAAUGGGGGAAACCCUGAAGGAGCGACGCCGCGUGGAGGAUGAAGGUUUUCGGAUUGUAAACUCCUGUCAUUCGGGAACAAUUGCGUGGAUUUAACUGAUCUGCGCUUGAUAGUACCGGAAGAGGAAGAGACGGCUAACUCUGUGCCAGCAGCCGCGGUAAUACAGAGGUCUCAAGCGUUGUUCGGAUUCAUUGGGCGUAAAGGGUGCGUAGGCGGUGAGGUAAGUUGGAUGUGAAAUCCCGGGGCUUAACCCCGGAACUGCAUUCAAUACUGCUUUACUAGAGUACUGGAGAGGAGAUUGGAAUUCACGGUGUAGCAGUGAAAUGCGUAGAUAUCGUGAGGAAGACCAGUGGCGAAGGCGAAUCUCUGGACAGUUACUGACGCUGAGGCACGAAGGCCAGGGGAGCAAACGGGAUUAGAUACCCCGGUAGUCCUGGCAGUAAACGGUGCACGUUUAGUAUGGGAGGAUUCGACCCCUUCCGUGCUGGAGCUAACGCGUUAAAC